AAGUCAAAAUCUGGAUAAGCUGAGGUUCAAGGUCCUACCUUCACAGAUUUUCAUAUUUUGCUGAAUGAAUUUAAAGUUUAUAUCAUGGACGGCAGAGAAAGAAAAAACAACUUUUCAAUUUUCCUGCUUCUGAAGGAUAAAUGUUAAACAUCUUGUUUUUGGUAAGUUUUAUGCUCUGUUUCAAUAGUGUUUGUGCAUUCAUAUGACAAGUCCUUCCUCUGAAUUAUAUCCUCUUUAAGUUUUUGGUGAGUGUUCCCCAUGAAUUUCAGUAAGUAACUUGUGGAUUUACAUGUAUAUACUCAAAAUUUAGUACUAAUAUUAAUGGGAUUUUAGCAUGACAUCCUGUCAAAUGCUCGUUAAUUAUGUUUAUGUUGUACACGUACAUUCUACCCAAUUUUAAGAAGUUGGUCAAGUUUAUUAGAAACAAAAUAUGUACAUUACAGAUCAACAUAACUGAAAUCUUUAAUAGAUUUAAACAAAAAGUUUAAUUGCAGUUAAAAUAAAAACACAUGUUUGAUCGAGCUGGUACUAGACCGUACACAUAUACUCAAAUAUUCUGACUGUAUGCAUAUGAUCAGACUGUAAGAGUAUACUUAUAUGUUCCGAACCGUAAACGUAUGAUCCAAAUACUGAUAUGGUCUGGAACAUGUAUAAAUGUCUUAAAAUUACUAUCAAACAAUUUGGUAUUUGUGAACUUGGUAAUAAGUUAUUUGAUAGAACUAUAAUGUUUUGGGAUAUCAAAAUAAAAAAAAUAUGCCAUUUUUACUUUUAAUAAAGAAGAAGAUUAUUGAUGUACAUGAUGUAUGUAUAACUGUAUAUAAAAAUGAGACAGCAAGCUAACAACACAGAAAAAAUAAGGUUAAAACAAUAUAUAAUUUUUUGUAUCAAUGUUAUAAUUUCCAAUAUGUCCAAAGAGUUCAAGGUAUUUUUUUAUUGAAGUAAAACACAAGUUGAACUCUGUCAGAACUUCAAAAGCUUAAGGAAAUAUUGUUUCUGUUGUCUGCAUUUUGUAUAAUAUAUUGCAAAUUCUUGUAAACAAUGGAAUGUUAUUAUAAUUGCCUAAAGUUUUAACAUUGAUCUUUAUAUAUAUAAUAAUUAUAUUAUAUAUACAACUUGGGAAAAUACCCAAAUGAUAUAAAGAAAAAUAUAAUUGAUUGUUAUAAAGUAUUAUAAUAGGAAGAUGUGGUAUAUUGCUAAUUUGACAACUCUCCAACAGAGACCAAAGGAUGUAGGAGGUUAGCAACUGAUGACACUGGACAACCUUUAACAAUCAGCAAAAUCCAUACCGCAUAGCUAUUUUUAUUGAAAAUCAUAUUCUUUCAACAUGUUUGCAAACAAUUUUGUAUUAAUAGUAUACUUCAGAUUUUAUUGGUUCUUUUUCAGAAGGAUUGAAAUUCAUCACCUAAAAUAAAUGGAGAAAACAUAGAAACAAGAUCAGAAUAACUUCAAAGACAAAAGUUGGAUCAGCUAUUAUUUUCAUCACUCAGUCAAUGAUUUGAAGUUCUUUUAGAUACCAAAAGAUAUUGAAACCAC
rnacentral:lncRNA from 1 species